AACGAACGUUGGCGGCAGGCUUAACACAUGCAAGUCGAGCGCUUCACUUCGGUGAGGAGCGGCAGACGGGUGAGUAACGCGUGGGAACAUACCUAAUAGUACGGAAUAACAUUUGGAAACGAAUGCUAAUACCGUAUACGCCCUUUGGGGGAAAGAUUUAUCGCUAUUAGAUCGGCCCGCGUUGGAUUAGUUAGUUGGUGGGGUAAUGGCCUACCAAGACGACGAUCUAUAGCUGGUCUGAGAGGAUGAUCAGCCACACUGGGACUGAGACACGGCCCAG
rnacentral:rRNA from 1 species